ACACAAGCACGCACGCACGGGGCGAUGGUGGGCAGUCUGAGGGUCCCGGUUUAUCUAUUUAAGGAAGAACAGGUUCCCACUAGAAGUGACGUGGUGAGGGCUACAUCAAAGUCCAUUUGACCCUGGGAAGGAUUCACCAGAGUGAAAAAAAACAAGCAAAAAGGAUGGAAGAAAAGAGAGAAUGUCCAGGAUCUUCGGGGUUCGCUGGCACCAGGAUGGGUGAGGUAUAGCGGUUUUCCAAACUUGAGGAAAGCUUCAUAAGACCAAUCAGUCUUCAAAGACUGCAGUCGAAAACAAGAUUUAAAUUGGAGUGACAGAAUUGCAGAGUGCUGAAAUAAAGCAAAGUAAUCAGGUGGAAAUCCUUUCCAUUACUUUUUUAUGUUCAUCCAAAGAGUUAUUUUUUUGAGUGCACAUGUCAAAUAUGAACCAUUUUCUGAUUCUACUUGGGCUGCUCAGACAGA